CCGAACAAGGCUUAGCUCUGUCACCGAUAUGUAUAUAGUCCAUAAGUAGCGACCAUAUGUUUUACUUUCUUCGACGUAAUAGUACAGUGGAGUAUACCAUUUAAGUGCCAUGGAGAUAUUGCUGCAAUUGAUGCUGGCCUUGGGUGUAUUGAUGAUGAUAUUUUACCACGUGAUUGCUCAACCAGACACAGAUUACCCAAACACGCAAACGAAUGAACCCAACGGCGCCUGGCAGUGGAACUGUUGUUGAGCAUGAACUCAAAGAAAUAAUGACGUCACUGGAAGUGGAACUGUUGUUGAGCAUGAACUCCAUGAAAUAAUGACGUCAUCAUUCUUUCAUGCUUAGCUACAGAGACGUGA